rnacentral:ncRNA from 1 species
CAGUUGGGUGCCUGCGCCAAGCAGGAGAAUAGACAAGCUGGGUGAAACUCCCACACGGUCCCGCCGCUGUAAAGGAAGAGCCGCGCUUCAUGAUGUCACUGGGUAAAACCGGGAAGGCGAAGCCGGCGAUGACGCCUGAGUCAGAAGACCUGCCCAUUU